AGAAAGGAAAAUCGUUUCCAUGUUUUUUAUUUAAAAGAACUACAAGCACAGAGUAGCAUUCAUCUCUUAAUUUUUAGGCUAAUUUUGAAGAUGAGGAAAUCAGAGCAGAAAAUCCAGGCGGCCGGAACCCAACGCCAGGGAGGAUUCUGCACAGCUUUCUGGUGAGAGAUGGGAAGGGAAGCCAGGAAAAAGUACAGUUCUUCACCCGACGGCCUUUCAGACCUGUCUUCCCCUCCCCCAGCCCUGGAUUCAGACUGAUUUGGGCAAAAAGAUUUCUUCCCAGUCACCCCAUGGCCAUUACUGUGAGUAAAAAGAUAGCUGGCGAUUGGGAUUAGGGUCCCAGGGUCCCACGUGGGUGUUUUCUAGUCCUCUGUCUUCAGAACUCACAGUGCCAUCAUGGCCUUACCGUCUGCAGGGUCACCAACGGGCUCGGGAUAGAAGCACCAGGGGACUCCCACGACUUUGUUGUCAAAACAGCAGCCUUUUCUUUCACACUCCGUCUCCGUGAUCCCGGAAUAACCACAAUUUGAUCUGCUGUCGGGGUGCACCUGACAUGUCUCUGAAAGUGCACAGGCCAAGAGGCGAAGAUAAAGAAUCUGAGACACAAGCAAGCCCUAAGGAAGCCGUGGUGCCCUCCCGCCUUGAUUCUCUCCGUUGGUGACACCACGGACCAGGCAUCGAUGGGACACACACCAGCAGGACUGGUGGUUUGGGUGCCAUGGGGCAGGGGGCCCAGGAGAGCCCACAGACCCUGCCGGAGGGGCUCCCAGGGGACGCCCAGCCCCGGAGCAGGCCCUCGGACGCCUGUGUGGACUUUGAGUGGGUUCCAGCCCCUGGGGCAGGGUUUGGCUUGGACUUUUGGGAGAACCAGUCUUAGGUCCAACAUCAAAGAUGGCUCUUUGAAAUAUGGAACUUCAGAGCAGCACAAUACUCUAGGCUCAGUGCUGCAGACAGCCCCCCGCCUCCUUCUCACAGCAUUUCCCGAAGCUUCCACAGGCCCCCUACCCCGCCGCUACCGUCCGCCUGUUCUGCCCACAAAAAUCUUUCUAGGACCUAGAACAGCACCUGGGACAGACAGCGCUCAGCUCAGAAAUAUGGAUAGUGACACCCUGAGUCCUGCACAGAGGCGCACCCACCCCGGGGCAGGACUUGCUGUCUUACCGCCCUCGCUCUGUGCCAGGCUGCUGAGCGCCAGCGCCAAGGCCAUGACCAGGACGCAGAUCACCUUGGGCUCCAUGCUGGCCGCAACCUCACUCCUCCGCUCCGAAGGAGACCACGAGUCAAGGCUGAGAUGCGUCCUGGCUCUCGGUCUUAUACAGCAGGCUGUUUGCUUAAAGAGGUGGAGUCCUUUCCGAAGCGAGGUUGUGUAGAGGAGGGCCAGUGUGACACUGAUGACGCAGAGGGGCUUUCCCUCUGGGGGGCCCCUGCGUCUGCGGGCUGGCGCUCCCAGAUCCUCCUCG